rnacentral:tRNA from 1 species
GCUCCCGUAGCUCAGCUGGAUAGAGCAACGGACUUCUAAGCCGUGGGUCGGGGGUUCGACUCCCUCCGGGAGCG